rnacentral:rRNA from 1 species
UACGAAGGGGGCUAGCGCUGUUCGGAAUUACUGGGCGUAAAGCGCGCGCAGGCGGCCAAUCAAGUCAGGGGUGAAAGCCCGGAGCUCAACUCCGGAAUUGCCUUUGAAACUGAUCGGCUUGAGUACGGGAGAGGUGAGUGGAAUUCCCAGUGUAGAGGUGAAAUUCGUAGAUAUUGGGAAGAACACCGGUGGCGAAGGCGGCUCACUGGCCCGUAACUGGCGCUCAUGCACGACAGCGUGGGGAUCAAACAGG